UGGGGAAUAUUGCGCAAUGGGGGGAACCCUGACGCAGCCAUGCCGCGUGAAUGAAGAAGGCCUUAGGGUUGUAAAGUUCUUUCGGUAUUGAGGAAGGUUGAUGUGUUAAUAGCACAUCAAAUUGACGUUAAAUACAGAAGAAGCACCGGCUAACUCCGUGCCAGCAGCCGCGGUAAUACGGAGGGUGCGAGCGUUAAUCGGAAUAACUGGGCGUAAAGGGCACGCAGGCGGUUAUUUAAGUGAGGUGUGAAAGCCCCGGGCUUAACCUGGGAAUUGCACUUCAGACUGGGUAACUAGAGUACUUUAGGGAGGGGUAGAAUUCCACGUGUAGCGGUGAAAUGCGUAGAGAUGUGGAGGAAUACCGAAGGCGAAGGCAGCCCCUUGGGAAUGUACUGACGCUCAUGUGCGAAAGCGUGGGGAGCAAACAGGAUUAGAUACCCUGGUAGUCCACGCUGUAAACGCUGUCGAUUUGGGGGGUUGGGGUUUAACUCUGGCGCCCGUAGCUNACGUGAUAAAUCGACCGCCUGGGGAGUACGGCCGCAAGGUU
rnacentral:rRNA from 1 species